UUUUACUUUCCUUUUUGACCUUUUUUACGGUCGGUACAACCGUAAUCUAUCUCUCGUCUCUGUCGAACUACCCAAAACCCUAAUCGCCGUUUGUAUCUUUCCGAUCAAAUCAUUAACUUCCCGGUUAAUUCAGUCUUGAAAUCGUCUUCUCCAGUAUUGAUUUCCUUUAUUUGUAUACAUAUUACGUCUCAAUUCAUUCAAAUCUCUCAAUUCAUUCAUAAACUUUAAGUCGAUUUGUGAGUUCUAGCCAUGGAUAAGUCAGAGCUGAGUUCAUGAGUCAUAAGAGGUGGCUUGAGGAAGACCCGCUUGAUUUCAAUGAAGAAAGCAUGGGUAUUGAUAUCCGAGAGGCCAAAGCGAGUAAGAAGAAGGAUAAAUCUACAAAGAAACGAGAAAAAUGAGUCAAUAAAGAUGUGUGUAUGACGACCACUCAUCGGAUGUGAUGUCUAGUGAUUUUGCUAUUGCACAGUUCCGAUUUUUGGAGAGACUUUUAGUUGUUCAUGGACACUGGUGCUAUAAGUGGAUCGCUCAAACGAUUUGUUAUUUCUUCUGCAAGGCCUCAUGCUGUUCUACUUUGAGGCAUUUACUGGCUUUUCUGGUCAGUCAGUUUAUGAUGAUUGGUAUAUGUUAUCAUAUAAUGUGAUUCUUACCUCAUUGCCUGUCAUCUCUCUUGGAGUAUUUGAACAAGAUGUUUCAUCUGACGUCUGCUUACAUUUUCCAGCAUUGUAUCAGCAAAGAUAGGUUUGACAGCGAGAGUGGAUUCAACUUUUAGACAAUUGACAGGGAGAUUACAUGGAAAACUUUCCUUAGCGAGUUGGCAUUGUGCAAAUAUCAAGUACCUAAUAAUAAUUUGGUCAUUGUUGUUUUGCUCCCAUAUACUAUAGUUAUGAUUUUGUUGGCUACAGAAUAUAGAUUCAUGAUUGUUUUAGAAUUCAUUAGUGUUGUUUUAGUGAUUGUUUUAAAGUGAGAGGAAUUAAUGUUGUAUGUGUGUGUAGAAUGAAAGUGAGUUGACAUGUUAUGAAGAUAAACGAAUGCGCAGGGUUGAUGGAUUGGCCACAUGUGCGCUCGGGUCUUUUGUCA